rnacentral:rRNA from 1 species
GACGAACGCUGGCGGCGUGCUUAACACAUGCAAGUCGAACGGAAAGGCCCUGCUUUUGUGGGGUGCUCGAGUGGCGAACGGGUGAGUAACACGUGAGUAACCUGCCCUUGACUUUGGGAUAACUUCUGGAAACUGGGGUUAAUACCGGAUAGGAGCUCCUGCUGCAUGGUGGGGGUUGGAAAGUUUCGGCGGUUGGGGAUGGUCUCGCGGCUUAUCAGCUUGUUGGUGGGGUAGUGGCUUACCAAGGCUUUGACGGGUAGCCGGCCUGAGAGGGUGGCCGGCCACAUUGGGACUGAGAUACGGCCCAGACUCCUACGGUGGGCAGCAGUGGGGAAUAUUGCACAAUGGGCGGAAGCCUAAUGCAGCAACGCCGCGUGCGGGAUGACGGCCUUCGGGUUGUAAACCGCUUUCGCCUGUGACGAAGCGUGAGUGACGGUAAUGGGUAAAGAAGCACCGGCUAACUACGUG